UCUGGGUCUUAGGAUGACGGCACUC
rnacentral:miRNA from 1 species